rnacentral:rRNA from 1 species
UACGUAGGUGGCAAGCGUUGUCCGGAAUUAUUGGGCGUAAAGAGCUUGUAGGUGGUUUGUCGCGUCUGCUGUGAAAAUCCGAGGCUCAACCUCGGACUUGCACUGGAUACUGGUGGACUAGAGUGCAGUAGAGGCAAGCGGAAUUCCAGGUGUAGCGGUGAAAUGCGUAGAUAUCUGGGAAGAACACCGGUGGCGCAAGCGGCUUGCUGGGCUGUAACUGACACUGAGGAA